AGUGGCGAACGGGUGAGUAACACGUGGACAACCUGCCCGGAUGUGGGGGACAACUUUUGGAAACGGAAGCUAAUACCGCAUUCGCUCGGAGAUCGCAUGGUCUCCGAGGAAAGGCCGCUUCGGCGGUCGCAUCCGGAGGGGUCCGCGGCUGAUUAGCUAGUUGGUGAGGUAACGGCUCACCAAGGCGACGAUCAGUAGCCGGCCUGAGAGGGCGAUCGGCCACACUGGAACUGAGACACGGUCCAGACUCCUACGGGAGGCAGCAGUGGGGAAUAUUGGACAAUGGGGGAAACCCUGAUCCAGCAACGCCGCGUGGAGGAUGAAGGCCCUCGGGUUGUAAACUCCUGUCAGGUGGAACGAAAAGCUCUAUCUAAUAAAUAGAGUCUAUGACGGUACCACCAGAGGAAGCCCCGGCUAACUCCGUGCCAGCAGCCGCGGUAAUACGGAGGGGGCGAGCGUUAUUCGGAAUUAUUGGGCGUAAAGGGCGCGUAGGCGGUCUUUUAAGUCAGGGGUGAAAUCCCUCGGCUCAACCGAGGAACUGCCUCUGAAACUGAAAGACUUGAGACCGGGAGAGGGUGGUGGAAUUCCCAGUGUAGCGGUGAAAUGCGUAG
rnacentral:rRNA from 1 species